UACAAAAUCUAAAGGGGUACAAUGGGAUAAAGAAUACAAAGCGAUAAAAACAGGCAUGACUUAUGAAAAAGACGAGGAUUAUUAAAGUUUGGACACUUUUUUUACAAUUUAAAAAUGCCGUUAUAUAGACGAGCCGUUCAAACUUAUUUAGACUCAAAAUUACCUUCCUCGGGCACUAAGCUUUGACUUUUUCACGAGUUUUGACUUUUUCACGUACACAACAACAAACUGAGUUUCGUAACUGUACAAAGCGUUUUCCCGCAGAGCAAUGGAGGAGCGGUUUGACGCAAAGUCGUCGCCCCCAGACAGCGAUAUGGAUUCCAUAGACUUUUGCGUGGGAGGCUAUGCCCGUGAUUUAGGGAAUUCGCUCAGAACGACUGUGGGAGCCGUUGCACACAAAUAUCUCUUGCGAAACUGAAAACACCGAAGUUUUCCGUUGCUGUCUGUUUGAUAACUACUUUUUGAUGUAUGGGAUGGACUUAUUGUGAGGUGCUAAGGAUACACUUCUCGACAAGGGGUCGAUAAGACAUUCUACAAAGGACUCACGAUUCCUCAUUCGUUCAUAUAUGCAUUUUUGUUGUCAGUGCGAACGGCGAAUGGAUCGAAAGGUGAUUAUGUGGUACGAACUAUUUAUUCAAACAUCAUGGCACCACAAUUUCGUAUUCUCUUGGUGAUUAUCCUAUUUACUGUUAUCUCGGUCGUGUGCGCGCAAGGAAAUAAGACAUCCGACCUCCCCAAGAAAUAUUUCUGCAAGACUGCGCGAGAUUUCGCGGUUAUACUUGAAAGGUCGUGCUCGAUGCUGGUGAGAAAGACAAAAGAACCAAUAAAUCCAAUCGAGACGAAAUCAAAUGCCCAAAGAUUCAUUCGCGGAUUCAAGACGAAACGCUCAAAGCUAGAGCCAUCGCGACCAACGAACUAUUAUGAAGAAUGUUGCGUUGAAGGCUGUCGGUCAGAAGAAGUGCUAGAAUACUGCUGACCGGAAGUCUAAUGUUAGUUGGCGCAGAAUGAAAACACAGGUGUAAUAUAGAGACGAUUACUAUCGAACAAAAAUCAAAGCUACAGAUAUUUUUUGUAAAAUAAAUGAGAUGUAUAUUUA